GAUGAAGAACGUAGUGAAAUGCGAUACUUGGUGUGAAUUGCAGAAUCCCGUGAACCAUCGAGUCUUUGAACGCAAGUUGCGCCCGAAGCCAUUAGGCCGAGGGCACGUCUGCCUGGGCGUCACACAACGUUGCCCCCCCAAACCUCGACUUCCAAGAGGACGGGGGGCGGAUGCUGGCCUCCCGUGUGCCACGGCUCGCGGUUGGCCUAAAUGCGAGUACUCGGCGACGAGCGCCGCGGCAAUCGGUGGUUGUCUAACCCUCGGUGCCAUGCUGCGCGCGCGAUUCGCACACUGUUACUCGACGACCCCAAUGCGUCGUAGCCACGACCCUCACAACGCGACCCCAGGUCAGGCGGGGCUACCCGCUGAGUUUAAGCAUAUCAAUAAGCGGAGGA
rnacentral:misc_RNA from 1 species